UAAGAUGGGGGGUUUCUAUGUUUUUUCAAUCAACGCAAUAACGGUGAACGAGUUGUGUGAGUGAGUUAACUCAGUUUAUCUUAAAAAGAACUUUGUGUUAAGUGUUUGAGGUUGAAGAUGAGUUACCUGAACAGAGUUGGAAUGGCGGCCAGUGUGGCUGUGGCUCAAGGCCAUACCGAGAUCGGACACAAGUGGAAGUCUGGACUUAAAUCUCUUCGACAAGGUCGGAGACUUUUGUCUUCCGGCGAAAAUUCGGCGGAUCUCCGUCCACUGUCCAGUUUGGUUGGAUCGGAAGGCUCUGGAAGUGUGCGGAGCUGUGACGUUGACGAGAGGAUAGCACAAUCGGAGGAUUCUCUCCGGAGAGUUAUGUACUUGAACUGUUGGGGCCAAGGGUGAUUGGCUUCUAGGUCACUUUUGGUGACAUGUAGAGAGAUCUGGUCGGCGAUCGUUGAUCGACGAUCAGAUUUGGAGCUACUCGAGCGAGAUGGAAUUCGAGGUAUUUGAUAUGGGAUUGACGCGAUGAAGAUUGAGUGAUGAUUGAUCAAUAACCUUGAAAAUUAUUUGGAAAAAUCGCUAUGUAGCUUUGGGAUAAUUGUACAGAAGAAAAAGGGAAAUGAAUCGGUUUCUUUGAAAUAUAAUAAAUCUCGAUUCUGUUUUUCUUUGCUUAAUUUGAAGUUUAUGUGCAACUAAGUGAGGUUAAAUUCAACUGAACUGAAUCCAGAACCCAGAUCUGUUUAACUGACUACCUUUUGAUGAAUCAAAUCGAAAAUUUGUUUGGAUCUGAACUAAUUUUAGGGUUUAGAAGCUCUUCAUAUUUAAAAGAUUUUUCACCGAGAUCUGCUGGAGAAGAUGGUAACCAAGAUGGCAACAAGCAAACUUUUUGAGAUUCAAUUUCUUUUAUUUUCUUGAAGUCAAGUUGUCUGGGGGAUGGAAAUUUCAUUUGAAACUUCAGAUAAUUUAUAAUUUUGUUAUGUGAAUUAGCUUCAUACUUUGCUUCCAAGAAUUUCCUAUGCAAAAUUAUUCUUUUCACUUGUGAACUCUUUGCUACUGCUAAAACAGCUACAGCUUCAUCCAUCUUUCAAUCAUGAACUCCUAAAUAUCUCUUAACAAAAUGAAUAUUGUUCAUGCCUUGUAACUUUACUCAUCUUUUGGACAAUUCAAGUUUAAACCAAAACCAAAUCUAAUUGAAACCAACGAUGAUGAUGACACCAACUUCUCACUGGAUCAUAUGUAAUCUGUGGUUGUAAAAUUCUAAAACUCUAAAACAGUAAGAAAUUGACAAGGUAGUAGUAUGAUCCACAGACUAAGAGUUCAAAGUAAUGGAGUUUUCAAACUCCUGAUUGGACCAAGCACUUCUGAAUACUUUUCGAACUCUUUGAGAAACCCCUAAUUUUUAACUCCCUUGUGGACCAAACACACCCUAAUACUUCUUUGAUACGAUGUAAUAACUUCCACAUGUAUCACAAUGAUAUGAUAUUAUAAUUAUUGAAGGAAGAAGUCUUGAAUAAAUUUGUGGACACUUCGAAAUAGGUGGCCAAAAGUUGGCCUUCAAUUGCUAAAAAUCUGUGACGGAAGAUUGAUCUGGAAUUAUGUAACAUCCAACCCAAGGGCCAAGGCUAUGUUUAAUAAACAAAUUCACUCUAUAGAUUACAUAAUUUAUAAUAAUGAAACACACGUUCUAUAUUAUAAACUACUAAAUGAAGGUUUUACACAACACAAAAAGAGAAAAAGGUAAUACAAAUUUGGAUUCGCACAAUCCAUAUACCACAUUUUUUCACAAAUUCCCACGGAGGUAGUACAAACUCAAUUUUCCAAUCUCAAACUAAACCCAUUAACAAUAGCCGAUUCAAUUGUUUCACUUAGAAGACUCACAGAUGAAUAGUAGGCUACAAUACAAUCAAUACAUAGAAAAAUGUUAAGUUUAAUAACUUAACGCCUGGUAAGGCUUAUGUACACACCACAAAGGAUAUGAAAUCCAAGUCCACUCUGAAAGAUUAAAAAGAAAAAAGGAAAAGAAAGAAAAAUCAUGCAGGUAAAGAAAAGCUCCGCUGUCCUCCAAGGUUAUGUGGUCUAAUUUCCCAUGAACUAACCUGUUGUGCUUCCUCUGAUGAAAUAAAAGGCAAAGAGAUCUCACGGAUCAUUAACUCGCCACAAAAUGGGCAUUCACCGGCUAUUGCAUCAUCCAACUGUGUUCGGAGCUAUCGACAAUUAGACGUUAACAAGUUAGUUAGAUACAAAUAAUAAAAUGCAAGUCAAAAGGCCAUGCAAAAGCUGGGUUAAAGCUUGUGUCCAACUAGUAAAACAGCAUGCUUUACCCUUUAAUAUGAAAUAUAGUGCUGGAAACUAAACAAUAAAUUACAAAAAGAGGAAAUUAAGAGGAAAUUAAAGGGGAAUAGUGAUCUCCAUAACUCAGAGAGGGGGUUUAAAGGGAAGGGAAAAUUUCCCAUUGGCAUUUGGGUUCGUUAGCAACUUAGUACGCAAGUAGAGAGUUUCUUCGUGGGGUAAGGAGUCAUAGGUGGGUCUGAGAGGCUGAAAAAACUUUUGGGAAAUGUGGGUUUUUUUCAAAGAGUCAUCGACCAUUUAUUUUCUUUUUCUUUCAGUAUUCUAAUAGAACCACUCUAAGCUAGGGCACUAAGGUGAAGAACAAUAUGCAUCAUCAAGUAGCACCCAUAUGUAAAUGACACAAACUAUAUAUUCCCACUCAUACAUUCAAAAAUGUUUAUUGGAAAUGCCAAAAGAUAACCUUAUCUGCAGGAGUCAUAGUCAUGCUAGAGAUGGAAUCUUCAGCAAAGCUUCCAUUUGAGUCCUUCCUUGUCUCACCACCCAAUAGAGUAAUUUGUUUUUGCAGAUCCAGUAUAUACUCUGCCUGCAAAGUCAAUUCUAAACGUUAGCUGCAAUUAUCAUGUUUCCCUAUGGAAUUUAGAUCCCAAACCCCACUCACGACCAUGAACCAAGCAAUUAUCACAAUGAUAAGGAAACCAAACUUCCUAUAUGCACCCAAUAACAGACAGCUUCAUGAAAUGAUGCCAUCACUAUUCUAGGCAAAAGAGUGAUCAUUUUUUUUCUGAGAGAAAUAAGAGAAUAACCAAUAUUAUACAAAAUAAAAAAUCCACCACAACUUAGAUCGUUCAAGUAGUUAGAAUCCCUGAUAAAUUUACAUUGCAGACUUACUUGAGCUUCAUCCGUACAACGUGUAACAUGAGCGAUCAAACAUUGAGCAUGAAAUCCAUGCCCGCAUGGAAAGACAUAGAAUGGGGCCAUAUGUGCUACUGAUGUGUAACUUGAAGUCAUCCAGAGGUCUCUUCCCACAGUUAAUAUUUUACGCUUACAUACCUGGUGAAAUACAAAUGUAGGCAUUAUGAAUUAAAUGAAGAAAUGAAGCGUUCUAAACUACCAACAUCAAAUAGAGAUGGAAAAUGGUGGACUUCAUUAUGACUAUGAAAUUAAUUACUUCACAUGAACCCACAAAGACACCAUCACCAUACACUUCAUUAAGGUUUUAAAAAUAUCAAAUACUGAAUUUUAAAACUUUGGCUAUACAAAUGUAUAGAAUACGUCCAAGAUAAGCCCAACCAGAAAGUAGGUAAUUCUUGUACACUCCGAACUCAUAAUCCUGAAUAAAAUUUUAUGCCCGUUUUAAGCUAAAGAAGUGGCGAGUUUUAAAACUAGGAAGUUGUAGCUAUGUUGUAUGCCUGGCAACUGCAUAUUGAUAACUAAAAGAAUGGCGGGUUAGCACCAGAACGAUCAAUACCCCACAAUCUUCAUCUCUAUCAAUUACAGCGUAUCUUUGAGCAAGAGCAUUGAUAUCUUUCCUAAUAUUGUCAGCACCAUGAGUUGCAUCAUUCAUCUCCUGUUUCAGCUGAUCAAUUUGCUUGUUGUAAUCUUCUAAUGAUGUGCAAAUUGCUUCCUACAAAGAUAUUUCAAGAAUUGUUAAGUGGCUAAUAGAGGUAAUAUUGAAACCCCGAAGAUACAAGUAGAGAUUUUAGGCCAACAGUAACUAAAUAUUAUGCAUGGUCACCAAGUUAAAAAGAAAUAUAGGGUUUGUUCAAUUUGAUAUACCCUCCAAUACAAUAAAAAAGUACAGGAAACUAAAAUAUUGCAUAUCAAGAAGAAAUACAAUAGAAAAAACAAACAAGUAAUACAAGGUGCUUGCAACCCCUCUUAAAUCUCUCCAAAGCCUAACUCACUUACCAUCCCUCCAUUUAUAACCAAACCCCAUAACCACCUUUGCACUAAUAACAAAAAGACGCAAUCAAACAGAAAAAACUAUUCUGAAAUUGGAAACAGCUCCAGCAGCGGGAUUCUAAAUUGUAUAAAAUCGAGAAACUCCUCAAUGUUAACUCCCUACUCUUCCAUCCCUCUUACAAUUUAUAGUACUCCAGGCUAAAAGAUUAAAACUAAUGAACUUUCCCUUCUAAUGAUGUAAUACCACUAAAAAUAUGAAACUCAACUCAGCCUAGCAGCAAAAGUUGUCCCACCAAUUAAAAAUUUUCUGUUUGCCAAAGGGCAUGGCAUGUGGUACACCUGCAAGUCCAAAAAUGUUAACGACAGAAUAAUUUAUUGACACAUUAGCUACAUGUUAACAAAUUUGAACAAUGUUUUAAAAGACCAACUGGAGAAUGUUUGAUACAUCAAGGGUAAAACUGACAACUUCAAAAGAUUUAAGGAUCAAAGUGAGAAUUGACUAGAAGAUGGAUCAUGGAGUACAUUUGUUCUUACAGAAAACUAGAAGCCUCUAUACGAGCCAAGGUCAAGUUCCUCGUCCCCACUCCCACUCCCUAAAUUUAUAGUACUCCAAACAAAAACUAACUAAUUGGCAUUCCUAGCCUUCUAUAUCAAAUGAAAAUUUAUUUUUAAGAUAGUAGCAAAGGUCGAGAAAGAGAAAAAAGAAAUCAACAUGAUCCCUAAAGCUUGAGCGAGGAGUUUGUUAAACAUAAAAAAUCACCUUAAAGUCAUCAAUUAGAGCAAAGUCUGGAAAAAAGGGUAAAAUAUCCUCAAUCUUUAGUAGACCGUCAGUUUCCUUUAGAAAAGCUAUAGCCUUUCUUAUGUUCUCCCUUUUAGUUCCUUUUUCCAGUUCAAUAACAUGCUUGGCGAUCAUGAGCCAAAGCUUCUUUCUUAAGUCCUCAUCAUCCUCGACCUUGUCAGCUUCAGCCAUAGCAAGCUCGGUAUCAACCUAAUGCACCAAAGUAUCAAAUGAAAUGUGCUUUAAUAUGCAUGUAGAGGUACGACUUCAUAAGAAGUUGAUCAAUAACAUGUAAACCUUCUAAAAGGGAAACUAAGGGUCUGUUUGGUAGAGAAUUCAAAUUCUAUUUUUCGAAUUCUAUUUUUCGAAUUCUAUUUUAUGUUUUCACAUUCACUGAGUUCAGCAGAUAUGCAUUUGGCAGAAAAUCCAGAUUCUGUUUUAGAAUCUAUUUUCAGAAUUUGCACUUUAGAUUAUGUGAUCCAAGUAGUGCAAAUUCUGAAACAGCUUCUUAACAUUUUUAUUGUAUCCAAAAUUUGAGUUUACAUUCUAAAAGGCAGAAUUAUGUUAAAUACAUAUAAAAACAUUAAGAAAUACAAUAUGUCAUGUUAUAAACUCAACUCAAUUUUUUAAUAUAGUAUGUACAUGUAAUGUAUUAUAAAUUGUAUAAUAAUAUAAAAUAAUAAUUAUACAAAUUUUUAGGUUAAAUUAUAAAUUUGGUCCCUACGAUUUUAAACGGAUAGAAUUUAGUUUUUAUGAUUUAUAUCUAGAAUUUAGUUCUUCUGGUUUGAUAAAAUCAUAAAAGUUAGUCUUGUUCGUAGGGACUACUGUGAAGGUUAUCAAAUCAUAAGAACUAUACAUGAGAUUUUAUGAAACUAUAGGCUAAACUCUAAUUUUCUCCAAACAAUAGGGACUAAAAUUGCAGUUUAACCAAUUUUUUAAACAUAAAUUAUAUUCACAAAUAAAUUAAUAAUAGCUUAUGUGCCAGGAUACAGAUAAGAAAACAAGCAGAACGGAUUAAUAGAACUUCACAGUGAAUAUGACCUGUAGGGCAAGAGCAACUGCUUCUUCAUGCAUGGCCAUCAUGCUGUAUAUAUGAACACAGGCUCGCAUUCGCUUUUCCUUGAGACAAAGACGCAAAGCAUAUUUUGGAUCAUAGAAGAACUCCGGGCCAUUUUCCUGCCCUUUUCCAAACUUGCAUUGCAGGAAUCGUAAAAGUGCACUGUCGUCUUCCUAUUAUAAUAAAUAGAAUGCCAACAAGUGAAUUUGUGUAUAAAUUUCCUACAUGUUCUAUAGAAAUAGUAAAAUAAAAAUUACAAAUACAUGCAAAAGUAAAAAUCAGAAGUAAAAUAAUUAGCUGUUUCUGCUAUCUCUUGUUGUCUCCUUUGUUACAUUUCAUAUUAUCAAUGAAACUUGUUGUUUCUUAUUGAAUAACUAGUACUUUAAAUUAAUCACAGAAUUUCAAGCCUCUAAAUAAAAAUUAGCCAGUUGCAAGUUUCUUGAAUAAAAGUCACAUUGUUUAUAAAUAGUUCUCCUAUAGACCUACACAGGUCUUGUAAUUUUGGUCACUCCGAACUUUGCUGUCAGCUAUUCCUUUAAACUGAAAGUGCAAAACAUCAAUUUAAUUGCAUGUUUGUACGGAGUUCAUAAUUUAAAUAAAGAAACCCCAUGGAGUAUAACUCUUUCUAAACAAGCUACUAGCAUGAAAAAGAAAAUCCCUAGUUCAAUUUCUACUCUGAUAUGCAAAAUCAACCUGCUUGGCAUACAAAGACAGCAGCAAGUUGUGAACUCCCGGAUCCUCAUUAUGUAAUCGAUGAACACAGUAUUCCAAAUAUUUGAUGACUUCAUGAGUUUCAUUCCUGAAAGUAGUAUAAAACAAACAUGUGAUUGGCAGUUGGCUUGGUCAAUUAUAAAUUUUCCAUUGAUUCUACCAAGCUAAAUAUUAAAAGUUACUCUAAGCUCCUAAAGUGUCGCUUAUUUUCUUCAAAAAAAAAAAAAAAAACAAAGGAGUAGAAAUAAGGAGGGAAAACUCCCACCCCAUGCAUUAAUCCAAUAUCUUUGCAAAGAAAAAAGUUUAGGAGACAACAGUCUUGAAUAAAGCGUCAAAAUUGCAUUGAAAUAUUUGAAAGGUUUAGUUUAAAUGCAAGACCUUAACAACUUGAAGUUACCCAACGGUAGCUAAAGAACUUCAAAGACUAUGGUUACAAGAUCUUUAAAAAACCAGAAGUAAUAAUCUUAAAAACUAAUGAUCUGGUUAUUCCUACAACAAAUACUAAAACAUAAAACACAUUAAGUGCGAGCACAUAGAAAUGUUGUAAUUGCCCUAUCAUAAUUUUAACUUUGAAAGCAGGGUAGCAUGUUAAAUGUUAAUUAACUGAAAGUUGAUGAUAAAUUCAAAUUACUUUGCAUGAGGUUCCCCUGAGUAACGCAUCAUCGCAGGAAUCAACUUCCUUGGGUUGAGGUUGUUUGUGAUCAUCCAUGACUCGACUGUUUCAUAUGCAUCAAGCAUGAUGAGCUCUGGAGCAAACUUGUACUGCAGAAUAUAAAGUUCCAUACUUUGGUUUCAAUUAAUAUAGAGAUGAAAUAAUAAAUAAAUAAUGCAGCACGCUGAUUUAAACUUAACUAAUACCUGAAGUUCAGCAGGUACUCCAGGUUUCUGAAGCACUUCCAAUGCUUUUUUUGCUUCUCCUUGCUACAUCAAAAAGCCAAGGAAAACGUAAGCAUGGACUAAUGUGAAUAUAAUGCGAUAUUAAAAGAUCUAAGAAUUACGGUAACUGUAAAAGAUUAUUUAGAGAAAUGAAAAUGUAAAUAUGAGUCAAUAACCCUGCAAGGUAAAAAAAACUUCACCAGUAAAAAUUAUAGUGUUGUGGGUUGAUAUUUCAUGAAGAAACUACAGAUUUCUUUGAACAAGUCAUCUUCUUAAGACUGGUAAUUGGGGGAGAGGCUUAAAUUUUGGACCAAUGCUUGCCUGACAGGAUCCUUCUCCUCUAAGCCAGCUUCUUCAAAGCAUUUUUUCUAUUUCCAAUGCUGAAGAUAGUUUUUAGGGAGUGUUGAAAUGAAGCAGUUUAAAUGACUAAGAAGAAUGGUUGUUCUUCAUAUAAAAGAUGGAAAAUGUUCACCUAUAUCUUUAUGAGAAAAAAAAAACUUUUCAAGUUUCUAAAUAUCUGCCUCUUUACUUAUCUGCCACUUUCAAGUUCAACAAUAGAGAAAGCAGGUCAGAUUGCUCCCAUGCUGAACAGAUUUGGGGAGGUAAGAACCCUGAGAAGACCAAGUUCUUCCUUUUUCAAUAACUUGAUUGGUCUUCAUUUGUUAUUGGCUGACAAAAGUUUCAAUACCUGAAAUAGGGUUCAAUCCCUUCCUGUCUUUAUUUCCUGCUGUUUCUUGGUUGUUUAUCGUAUCCAAAGAAGAAUCCACUGACCACCAUUUAUUCACAGCCAAUGGGCUACAAAGGGAUUCAAUUAACUCCGUGAAGUUUUUGUUUCCUUUGGUAUAUUGCUAAAGAUACUAGAACUUGGCUUCAUAAAGUUCCCUAGCCAGAAGUUGAAUGGGAAAGCAAGAAUUUGUGGCUAAUGCUUCAUGAGCUCUAUUGUGGUGGCAUUGUAAAAUAAGGGAGACUUUUUAGUGAUUUUUUUCCCUCUUUACUCAAUUCAUGGAAUUGGUUUUGCCUAAUACCUUCUCUUUGCAUAAAACAAAGCACCCUUUGCACUCACUUUACUUUAUCUUUUCUCGUCAGUAAUGGUGCUCAUUUCUAUAAUUAUAAUCUUCUUUGAUGUUUGAAGUUUUCCCUUGAUUUCGUUUAUCAAUGAAAUGUUUCUUUUACCAAAAAAUGAAGUAAAAUGAAGGAACAACAACAUAAUUCUCAGAAACAGGUACAGGCUUUUCGAAGAAUUUUUUCGAAUAGUACAAUUUAGUGCCUCUAAUUAUUUAGAAGGCUCUUCAAGAAGAAUUUCUGAAUCGCAAGUAUUGUUCAAUAAAACCUAGAUUAGGUUUGUUUUGUAUGAUUCUGCUUUUUCAAGCAAUGGACCAACAUCGCCUUGGAUUUUAUGUUGUUUUAUCUUCUUCAUAAAAGAAAAUACCAAGAGGAUGGACAAUAUAUACAAUGAAGGAUGAGAAGAAUCAUAACAUUUCAUUAGAAAUUUCAUAUUUGUGGUAAAUAAGGCACCUGGAUGUAAUGGUGGACGACAAUUUCAUACUGCUCCUUUAGACCGGCAAAAAACACUAAUUCCUCAACCCGACCAUAACUGCAAGAUAUCAUCUUGUAGACAAUUAAAAAUUAUUCAACGAAAAACUAUAGAAAGAGAGUUUUGAUAACAAUUACGUCUGAAACCACCAUUUGUCCAUUUUACUUUCUAACCAGAAGAUGAAUACAUCCAUAUAACAAUAAUUUUCAGCAGAUAACAUGACUGAGUACCUUUCUAAGAGUUUCAUUGUAGUAACUUCAUCCAAUACAUCUUUGGAAUCACUAAGAAAAGCACGAAAUUCUUGGAUGAUUGAUUGGUACUCCGUACUAUGCCCAUCAAAUGCAGUGUCAUCAUCCAAGAGUAGACGGUUUAUCUAAGAUCAAAGAACAAAGAGAAACAAUUGAAACCUGGAAAAAGAGAAUUCAUCUUAGCAUGGAAUAAAUACUACAACAAUUUCCUUUUAACUGUUUGUCCACCAACAUUAUUCCAUCAGAUGAAAAUUGAAGUAAAAAAGUUUGUAUCAGAUAAAAGUGACAAGAUUGUCGUUUAUAUUGUGUAGUAAACAUACGAAUUUUCCUUUGUUGCAAUUUUGAGAGUCCCAAAAUUUAAUGGAAAAAAUUUCCUAAUUGAAUUAGUGUCACUAUUUUCUAUCAGGAGUCUUGUGUCUAGGACACGAGCAAGAACCUUGUCCAAAUACAACUCAGUUGCCCACGUGGAAAUCAUUGUUAUUUGGCACUUAUCAUCCUUGGUAAGAUUAUCAAGCUUUCGCAAUAGAAAAGUUCUCAAAGCAUCCUGCAAAUGAGACAUCAGAAAAUAGAUAUGAUGUACGAUGCAAAAGAAUCAAAACUAAGUCAAUAUACAAAGCUCAUGCAAGGAAAUCCAAUCUGAGUGUAGGUUUGGGAUGAAUGUUUUAGAACAACCAUGAGAGUAUACCUAGGAUUUACUUAAAUGUGGUUAUAACUACAUUAACUACAUUUAUAUUUGUACGGUGACAGCUAAGAAAAACAAUCUAUAAGCAUUGUGCCUCCCCACAAAGUAACCAGAUUAACUUUAAGUCUUCGACAAUAUGGCAAAUUCAUCAAAGAUGUUACCAGUUAGAAACAAUAUGCAGACAGAAACAAAUAUUAAAUUUACAGCUAAGAAAAAAAAACAAGGCUACAACUCUCACUAUGAGAGACUUAAUUCCAAGCUGAAGAGAAAUGAAAAUACUGACCUCCACUACUUAUACUACUCCUUCCUUACCCAAACUACUCCUAACCAUACUCAUGGUCCCCUCUCCUUACAACAUUCUUGCCAAACACGUGUAUUUUAUGUUCCUCACUCCCAAGUCCCAUGCACAACUAACCCUCUCCCACAGUUACACUCUUGUCCUUCCUCUUAUACUAAUAUGUGAUGGCCAAUGGGUGGUCACACAGACUGCACAAUAGAACACGUGUAUGUUUGUCCAACUGACAAACUAAGAUGAUGCGUACAACUCAUUAAGUUACCAUGCACAGUUAUUAAGCUGCAAAGAUUAAGUGAAAAUAGUUUUUCUUACUUGUUCACUUGCACUUAUAAAUUUCAGAGUGAUCUCCUCAAAGGAUAAUAUGUAGUUGAUCUGCACACAAAUUAUGUCUUAGCAGCAACAUAAAAGCAACAUAAAGCUACGUGAAAGCCAAAUAAGCUAUUAAUCAAGAAAAAAAAUCCCCAAUAGUAUGUUGCAGAAACUCAAUUAAUAUGACAAACAUUUCUAAUGAUCAGUUUGGUAUUAAGCAAAUCACUUGGCGUAGCAAUAAGAAAAAAGGCAAGCUAAAUAGUGUAAGAGAGAGCUUUCACUUUAGCAUAGAAAGAUGCUGCUCUGAGAUAAUCCCUCGAUGCUAAUGCAUCUUCAGCCUGCAUCAUAGAAACAAAUCAACCUCCAAACUGGAAGCAUUCUCAAAUUUUACAAUUCUAUGAUAAGAAACUAGAAAUGAAAAAUGAAAGAAUAAAAAAACAGCUUUCAGAAUGCACACAAACUAGCCAGUCAGUACCUGAGCCAGAUAGACCUGAUCUCUCUGAAGAGAAUCACGGCAGUUGGCUAGUGCUGCAGUGUACUCUUUCAUGUCCAGAUAAACCUUCCACAUAUCUCUGCCUUCAUCGUUAACAGAUACCUAUUUUAAAGGAACAAAUUCUAUUAUCAUUGCAAGGUGGAAUGAAACCCAGAGAAAAGAAAGAAGUGGAAGACAUGCCUGAAAAAUGGAGUUUUGGUCAUAAGCAUAAAAUAAACCUGCAGUCGCAUCACUACAUAAUCCAAGGAUGCCCCUUGUGAUUGCCUCUGAUGUCUGAUCAAACUGGAGUUCCUCAAUGAUUUGCUCACUAAUUCUAUUUACAACCUAGAAAUAAUUAAUAAUUUAAGAUGAAUUUCAAAGCUAGAACAAGAUAAUUUAUAAAUAAAAGAGAUACUGAAAAAUGUAUCAGGUAGGAAACCUUGUGAGAAAGUCAAGAAAACACCAACUAAAUUUCAAGGACAUGAAUUCCCAUACAUACCAACUUAUUAAACAACAAAUAUGAAAACCAAGGUUUUCUAACAGAGUUCUAAAAAUAUUUUGAAAGAUUGCAUGUGGUACAAGUUAAAACCGGAGAUUCAUACAAUGAAUAAAUAAGUAAAAGAAAAUAAGCAAAGGAGUUAACUUGAGUUUCUCAAUCAACGCACCUUAACCUUGUUACCGAUUAGAAGCAAGAAAUGAAAUUCCGACACUGCCAUGGAACUUGGUUUAACAGUUCCAGAAUUUUCAGUCAACUUUGAAUAAUCCAAAAGAGCCUUAUUUUCAACAAAAUUUUCGUCUCCGUUAGAUAAACUGCAUGAAAGUCAUCAUGAAAGGCUUAUUAACGAAAGAAUGUCAUAAAUUAUAUCGUUCAGAGCCAAGCUGAUACAUUAAGGCCAUUGGGGGGGGGGGGGGGGGGGGGGGGGGGGGUCUAGUUUUUAAAGAAUAAACUGAGAAAUACUCAUUAAUAAGAGAAAAAACCAUUUUACAAUAUCAACUAGUGUAUGUCCCAUGCAGCUCAUCUAAUUUUCAUAUAACUUAAACUUGCUACACCAGUUGAAUUUUUUUCUUCCUCUUGAAAAAUGUCAUUUGGAAUUAAGAAAUAUUGCAUUUUAAUUAGGAAACUCAUAAAAUAUCAAUAUCUAUGGAACUGACCAGUAAUGUGUAGUUUUAAAACCCUCAAAUAUAAAAUAAGAAUAUACCAACUCUUACCUACGUUGUGACCCAAAAUUUAACUCUCCAUGAUAAAUGCCAGCUCCAGAAAGCCAUGCAAAAUGUAUUGCUCUUCUUUGCUUUAUGUAGAAAUGCAGUUCACUGUAAUGAUUAAAUUUAUAACAGUAUUGUUAAUCAAUUUUAACAGCAUGGAUUACCAAUUAUUAGAGGUAAAACAAGCCAAGAACAAAAGAUUCCAAAUGCCACUUGCCUAUUGGGUAUUUCACCAGGAAGUUCCAUGAAAUGCACUGCACGCUCCAAAUAAGUAGAGAAGACAGUCUGGAUACAUAAAUAUAAAGAAACAACAUUGUUAACCAGAAUGCAAUAUAGAUCACUUAUAGUAGAAUGAAACUAAUUUACUUGGUAGAGCUAGAUUGCCCAGGAAAGGAAAAUGGACAUUCAAAUAACUUCUGUAGAAACUCAAAGUAUAACUAUCUGGGAACUGACAAUUGCUGGAAGAGGCAGGAAUGUCAAAGAUAUAGGAGACCCGUAGGAAGUAAUUGACAAAUAAGAAACCCUAAAACAGACUGCAUAUUUCCAUGCUCCUGUAGGUUGACCCUAUAUCUAACCCUACUAAUACCAUGGGGGGUAAAACAAAGAGAAAAAGAAGCCAUCUUUGUGAUUACACAGCAUAAUCUAAAUUUCUGGCCUUCAAAACAUUAGAUUGACUAAAUUUAUGUUUAUUCACAUUGAACACACAAUACUUGAACUCAUAGUUAGAUAUCACUUAAAAACAUUUCUUUCCUAGCUUAUCUAGCCCUAAAUUUUUCUCUUAUAUAAUAUGUAAAUGAAUUGUGAAUCAAGAAAAUUUGAGAACAGGGUGCUCCAAGGAGGGAUAACAGUAAAAUAAGAAAAUAAUGCACCAUACAUACAAUUUCAAUCAAAAUUACAUGAUCGAUAUAAAUAGAAGAUAAGUUCGUCACUUGAGCAACUAUGAGAACUACAAGACUUAAAAUGAUAACAUAAGAAGCCCAAACAUGUAUUUUAAUUUUACAGAAGAAUGGAAAAAAGAAAGACGCACAAACUUCUAAACCUAGCAUUAAGUUGAGUAGGCACUCAAGUUAUGACAAAAGGUCUUGGCUAACAAAUGAUUAUGCAUUGAUUUUAUUUUUAUUUGGUAUCCAUUAAUUAGCACUGAUAUGCUACCGUUACAGAAAAUACUUGUUACUCUGCAAAUUUGUUUUAGGACCCAUAUUACAUUUUACAAACAUUUGUGCCUAGAAAAAAGCAGUUUGGAGCUAAGUUCAUCUUGAUCUUACUUAAUAAAAACAUAAAAUGGGUGUCACUGCAAAUGAAGACAACAUAAAUAGCAUGGUAGGAUGAUUUAGCCUAAGUAACCUCAAGGAGAAAUCCUCCAAGAACCAAGAUUCUGGAUUUUUUUAUUAGAAUGAAUAAUGUGCUUCAUACAAGAGGAGAAGACUCCUAUUUAUAGAGGUCUAUUACAAGUGGGGGUAAAAAGGGAAUUAACCUAGAAUAUUACCUAGUUACCCAAUUAACCCUUAGCCUUCUUAUAUCAUAGGAAUGGCUCAAGUUGACUCAUUUGUACAAUAAAUGCUUCCAAAGGCCAGGAUGAGAAUCUAACACCACAAAAUUUAAAAAUUUUGAACAAAUCAGGGAUUAAAAAUUAAAUUACCUCCAACGAUCCUGUUCCGGUAAAAGAGUACAGUCGCGUUGGAGUAACGGCCAUUACAUAAUAUCUCAUUCCAUUUAGUAUGCUAGUUGUUUCCAUCUGCAUGAAAAGCAAGCCAAGUGAGCAAUGACAGAAUUGAAGUUGUGAACUGACAACUGUGUGCUAACAACCAUGAUGACAAAAUCAAUUGUAGACUAAGAAAGAGGAAAGGAAUUAAAAAUACAAUAAAUUAAUAGGGGCAGUAAUUUUUUCAACCUUGAUCUAACACUUUUGACAGUUUUCAAAGUUAUUAGAAGUCAAGCUCAUAGAAGAGUCAGCUAAUUACUCGUAAUGCCUAAUGGAGAAAAAUUAUGAAAUUUCCAGCAAAAAAUGAUAGUGUGCUCAUCCGAGCAGAAAUAUUAUAAUGUUCUGAUACUCAAUUAAAUUUUAACUAAUCAUAUAAGGAAGUCAAGUAGGUAGAAAGAACGAAGAUUGAAAACUAAAAUAUGGAAAGAUAGAAACAAAUGGGCAUGAAGUACCUGCAAGUCCAUAAAAGCUUCCGGAAGUUCUGCUAACUCAAAAAGAAACUUUACAUACUUUUCCUUUUUUUCCUUUUCAUCCACCGCAAGUUCAAAUAGUUGUCCAUUGUCAGUACCAAGAAUGACCUCCUUUGUAGAAGCUGCUCUUAAAAGUGGCGUGCAGUCACAGCAGUAAAUAAAUUAGAGUCAACUAUAAUGCAAAUGUCAACCAGUAAACAAAAUAAGAAUUUGAAAGCAAACCUUCAGUUAUAUGUUGCCUAUUCCAGGCAACAGUAUUUACAACAAGACCUUUCAAUCUGGCUAAAAGUCGAGGUUUUGACCACUUGGCGUGCAUAUAAAAAGUAUCGGCGCCACCAGUACCAACAAUUGUCGUGAUACAAUGACUACCUCCUGGAUCAACAAAUACUCUGUGGAUUGAUUGAUCUCCAGGCCGACCCACAGAAAGAUCAAAGUCUGUAUUUCCAAACAUUAGUGUUUUGCAAUCUUAUUUCAAGUUAUACUGAAAUAUUCAUACAAUAAAGUAGUGGUCAGAUAAAAGUAAAUUGAAAGAAAGAACAAACAAAGCAUGAUUCUGAUACAAUAGAGUUACUGAUCAAAUAUUUGAAAUAUAUUUACACAUUUGAAGUAAAAAGACAAUGAAGAAGUGAGAUGUAAGCUCCACCCACCCAACAUUCUUAGCAAAUGAACCAUGACAAAAUCGAGAUGAGAUUACAGGAAACCAAUUUCACUGAAGCUCAAGUAUUAAUUGGAGCUGAAAAGCUAGUUUCAAUUUUUAAACCCCUGUACCACCCUCGAAAUAGAAAAAUAAAAUUUUCGAUUGAGUCAGCUAAAUGAAUAACUUAAUAGGAAUUCAUUGAGUUUGCAGCUCUUUCUCCACAUCCAUUCUACUAGCCAACAUUCUCCUUCAGGCAAAAUGAUAAUUGGAGACAAGAACAUAAACGAUGGAGGAAAACAUUUUCGUGAUUGUGAAAAAAAAAUGUAAUUAGAUUAGAUCGCAUAGAAGUAAUUAGAUGAAGAAUCAUACCGAUCGAAUCUCCGACUCCAAAGUCAUAGCGGGUGACCCAACCUUUGCUGGUGCCUAACAUAAUGACAUCGUUCCCAGCAGCCAUGCAGCUGAUUACUCCCCUGCCUUUGGCCGCAUACCUUUCCAGAAGAUCGACGGUGAAAGCCGGCCUACCUUGUUCCAUUUCGGAAAACUGAGAGAGUUCAAGUGUGGAAUCAGAGAGACCUAGGAAAAUUGCCGGGAAAUUUUACUCCAAGGAGCCGUUCGUCGGCGAUCGUAGAGGGAAUUUGCACCGUUUGAUCAUAUCUACAGUUUGCUCUUCGAGAAGUUCUGGAAACGCACCGUAUUACUGCAAUUUGCAACAGCCAACACCAACAGAUAUGCCAACUGAACGGUUCGCUUUGGUUUCUAACUUAGAAUGAAAAAAUUAUUUUAAAUGACCGUAGACACGUAUUAGUGUAACGCAAUCUAAUCUCGUUAUAUUUAUAAAUAAUUUUAUUUAUUUUGCUAUAUUUGAAAACAAUCCAGGUAAAUAAUAAAUAAUCAAUAAUAAAUAAUCAAUAUGAAUGUUUUUAAAUGCUUAAAAGGUUAUGAAUUUAAUUGCUAUCACACUCUACAUUUCUAUCCUCUUAGUUUAUUCAAAUAUUUUUUUAAAAUAUGGUUUUUUUUCUUUCUUGAAUGUAUUUCUUUUUUAUAGAAAAUUAAAACAAAUACAGAGUUGCAGUUUUUUUUUUUUUUUUGGAGAAAACCAACAUGCUCAAAUUGUCACAUCAUCAUAGAGAUUCUAGUAUUGCUUGAAUAUUAUAAAACAACUCUUAUUUAGGACUAAACCUAAGGAUUAUAAAGCCAUACCAUAGAGACUAUGUGAAUGAGAAGAUAAAUCUUUUAUUACUGUUUUUCAAAUCAAUAAUUCAAAUAGUGCAAAUAUUAUAUAAAUUUCUCAAAUUACAAUUAUUUACUAAAUGUUUUAAAGGGUAGUUGUAAAUUUAGCUAUUAAAUUCAAAAUAAUUAAGUAUAUAGCAACAUUUUAAAAAAAUUGUAAAUAUAGCAAAAUUUUUCAAAUUCUAUCAAUGAUAUGAGUUUAUCAACGAUAAACCAUGUUGCAAAUAUUGGUCUAUCAUUGAUAGACUAUACGAAAUGUAUCAGCGAUAUCGGUGAUAGUUUUGCUAUAUUUGCAAUUUUUUUAAAAUUUUACUAUAUCCUAAUUAUUAUUUUUAAAGUGCAAUUUUUCACUUAAAUAUGGUAAAAAUAUAAAGACAGUUUUAGAUCAAAAUAUCUAAAACUAUUUUAAAAAACAUAUUCAUCGUAAAUUUUACAAAAUAUUUACCACCUAUAACAAAUUUUAUCAUUGAUAGUCAUUGAUAUACUAUAGUGGUAAAAAAACUAUUACCGCUAGAAUAAAAAAAUUUGUUAUAGCUUAUAAAUAUUUUAAUUUAUUUUACUAUUUUAAAAAACGUCCGUUAAUCAAAUAUAUAUUUACUAUCGGAGUCCAAAAACAUAAAACACAACCCAUGUUUUCUAUUCUCAAGAGAAAAAAGAAAUGCUACCAUUAACUCUUUUUUUUUUUUGCAGGUGGUCGAAAAUAAUAAAUACAAUGAUAGUUUGUUACACACAAAAGGGUGAUGAAAGAUGAUAGUAUGUUUGAGAGAGAGUCAGGAAUUAAAAUUUGAUAUCUAUACAUAUCAUAUGAGAUCUCUGUUGUCGCCACUCAAACACUAAACUCGAAGAAAAGAUAGCGGUUAGCUUCAGAUGCGGCUCGAAUCUCUUCCAAAUAUGAACUUUCUUGUCCAAUCUGAUACCACUAGAUAUCUUGUGCGCCAGCUGACUUGCUUGCUGAGUAUACGAAACCAAAACAAAUUCAGAAUUCAAGCGUUGAGCUACACAACUAAGUGCUUGUUCGAGAAUGUUUGAAGUCAAUCAAAUUCAAUUCAGUUUUUUAUUUUACACUUUUUCAUAAGGUUGGAAUUGAUUUUUAAAUGAUUAAAAAUAUUCUUUUAGUGAGAUUAAAAAUGAUAAAAAUGAUUUUAACUAUUUUAAAAUCGUCAAUUCGUGGCAUAAUAGAAAAGGGUUGGAAGAAUCUUCUGAUGAAAAAGCAGCAGUAGGUAAAUCACCUUGCAUAUACAGAAUACCAGAGCCAUUGAGUGCUGUGACCCAUGGAAACCCAAUCUCCAGGGAGUUCGGCAGCAGCUUGUUCUCCUCCUAAAGGAGCGAACUGUCCCAAAUGCUUGUACCUAUUAGACAUGGAAUGAAAAUUAUUUGCCUCAGAUCUAAAGAGAAGGAUAUGGUGGAAUUAUUUGUGAACUUUAUCGUGAUCUAUUCUCUCUACAAUCAAGGGAAAUUAUGAUAGAAUAAUGCACGAUGAGAUAGCAAUGUGAAAUCUCUUUAUUCAUGUCAAAGAAGAUAUUAAACAGCAGUUUGAACCAGAAGAAUGAAUGUGAAGGAAGCAUGGAUCUUCUAUGACCAUUUCGUGCUGUGACAUCAAGGAUGAUCUAUUUGGUAGAAAUUCUUUGGAUGUUUCUUAAACGGAUUAAUUUAAUUCUUUUGACAUGAAUUUGUACAAACUUUUACUGUAUGUUUAUAUGUAUGUCUGCCUAGCUAAAAAGUAGAACUUAUGUCAUACCACUUGAGAUUUGAAACAAAGGUGCAGAGCCCUUCCAUAUUUGUCAUUUUGUUUUGAAAAUGUGGGAUGGAUUUUGUGCCAUACUGGUGUUUGCAUGUUCUCUUGACUUCUACUAGGAAUUGUCAGGAUAGUAUGGAGGUCUUUGUCCAGCCCUUUUGUAAUGAAGGACACUUUAACAUUUUUUUGCUAAUAUUGGCUUGAGAACCAAAAGAGUCUUUAUGAGUAUUGAGAUUUCUCGGAUAGAGAUUUAGGAUGCAGCUCACUUCAAUGUCUAUUUUUUGGGUUUUUCAUUAUAAUUAUUGUUUUAAUCGGUGUUUAUACAGUUAUCACUUAUCCAAGACCCUAAAAAAUUGCAGGGUCUUGAUGUAGUUUCUUUCUGUUUCUGUUUUUUCUUUUCAUUUUGGCUUUUGUGAAAUGGGCCUUUUUAUGAUGGCCUCGUCUUUUGUACUUCCAGUUCAUUUGUAGCUGGUUUUUCACACGUAAACAUAUUUAUAAAGGAUGUUGACUUAAACUGAGAGCAGCCUAUUUUCGGUCUGGAACAUGGAAUAGAAACAAAUAAGCUUGCAGACAUACCGAAAGGGAAGAAAUUGAUGACGUCCAGAACUCUUAAAACGUCGAGGACCUUCAGGAUUCUCAGUGCAAUAAUCUCUGCGGUUGAAGCACCUGGAAAGAUACGCACCUUGUUGGGCAGCAACCUGAACAGGAAUAUUUAUUUAUUAAAUAACUUGAAAGUCUUUUCCAUGUAGACCAUAAGUUUACAUAAGAGCUGACUUGAACAUGGAAGUUUGUAUCAAUGAAGAUGUGCAUUUUACCUGUGCGGUAGCAGGCAGACUUUUCAUCUGCGUGUCGGCAAUAGAAAGAGCUGACUUAAAUCCUUCAAUAUCUAUUUCAUUCUCAUGUCCCUGAGAAUCCCUUAAGAGAUCUUUUACAUCGCGGAGAUGUUUGCUCCUCAAAAAUAUCUCUACUUGAGGAUACCUUAUGAGAAUAUCAUCUAGAACAUCUUGAAAUUCUGUAACUGUCAGGGUACCAGAGUUAUCUUUGUCUGCAGCUUUAAAUAUGGUGGCAAUAUCUUCCUAGUGAAAACACCAUUUGCAAUUGAUAAGCAGUCAAAGGCUAUAGUAGUCGAUUGAAAACCAAUAUUAUGAGAAAUCCCUCCACAACUCGAGAAAAAUUCAAGUACUUCAACACUUAAAUUUAAGAACUUCAAGGAAGUAAUAAAAUGGGUGAAAAUCUAGAGCUUCAAGAGUGAAGACCAUUGGUAAAAUUUGAUAAAUGUUAUAUUGCUGUACGAAAAUUGCUCUCAUCAAAAUCAAAUUGGCAGAUAGACCCUGCACUAAAAUAUAAUCAAGCAUUUAUGGCUUCAUAUACCAUAAUUUUGCGUUGGUCAAUUGUAGCACAAUCACCAAUGGCAUACACAUUUUGAGCGCCCUUCACUUGAAGCCAUUCAUCAGUGGCUAGAAUGCGUCUACUACCCUAUAUAUCAGAAAGAACUAAUAGUUAGAAACAGAAUAACCACCCAGGAAAAGAAUUGUGGCAUCCUGGGAAACAUAUAAGACCAGAUAGGAUAAAUGCAUCGGUCAAGUAUAGCGAAAUGUAGACCUUUGUUUUUAUCUAUUCUUCCUCUCAAAUGAUACUCAAAAGCACAUACAUCUUAAUCAACAAACCUGGCCAAUCUGCUCCAUGAAAUCCUUCACAACAGGACGAGUCAUGAUACCCGUAGACCAGAUAAUUAGUCCAUGCGGCAUCGAACAGGAUUCUCCAGUUGAUUUUACCUUCAUCUCAAUUUCUUUAUCAGAUACACUGACAACUCGACAUCCUGUGUAUACAUCGAUGCCAUCUCUUAGGAAUUUUUGUUCAGCAAAUGAACUAAUUCUUUCAUCAAACCUGCAUUAAGCAAGAAAGAUUUCAUCAACUUACCAAACCAAUAGAUCAAUAUAAAAAGAUGGUCAGAUUUUUCCUUUAUAAAUUAAUCCUCUUAGGCUACAGUAUGUACUUAAUAUUUUGAUUUUGUAGAGAUUCAAGAGCUACAGAAAAAUCAUACAAUCCAAAAGACGAGUAAAAUUUUGAGUUAAUUUUCUUCACGUUCCAUAAAAGCAGGCUUAGUAUAAACACUCAUUCCUUACGCAUUCAAAAUGUGAUCUCCAGAUUGAAUUACUGAAAUUUUCACUAGAUCUUUAACCGAAGGAUAUAAGUUAACCAAAUCUUCUUCAAAAAAGUCAUGAAGCUCUGCAGCAAAUUCAACUCCAGUGGGACCCCCUCCAACAAUAACGAAAUGAAGAUUUCUCCUUCGCUCUUCUUCACUUAGACUAGGAAUCACAGCCAUUUCAAAGCAAUCUAUCACACCUCUGCGGAUCUUCUGAGCAUCUUCCACUUCCUACAAUGGUUACCGAAUCAUAACAUGGGAAUUAAAUAUGAUAUCUAACAAAUUGACAAUGAUCUACAAAAGAAACAAGGACCGAGAUCGACAAACUACCAACAAAAUUUCAGAAAAUGCCUAACCCUAAAAAGUGCAUAUCAAACUAUGAAAACAAAACUGCUUACCUUGAGAAAAUGGCAGUUUUCCUUGACACCAGGAGUAUUAAAAGUAUUAACUUGCGCUCCCAUUGCUAUUACUAAAUAGUCAUAUUCUAAGGCAAACUCCCUAUUGCCAACCAAAUUAUUGUCAACAUUAGACUGGCAGAAAACCUUCUUGUUAGCAGCAUCGAUCUUAAGGCAUUCAGCUUCCCAGAACUUAAUUUCACCUUUUCUCUGUUGCAGAAGCAAUAUUGUCGAUCAGGCACCUUCAUAAGUUCAAUUAAUUGCGAACAAAAACAAAAUUAAACUGUACUCUUCUCCAAGCGAUUUUUCUUUCUUUUUUUUUUUUUUUUUGUGAAAAUGUACAGUCGACCGCUACUUUUAAGGACUCUUCAGCUCUAAGGCCCUUAAGCUGCGUUCUCCUUUUUUUUGUUAAAUUAAAUUAAACAAAUCAAAUAAAUUACCUUCUUCACGAUGUUCCGAACCGGUUCAACAAUGCUUCGUGCUUCAACUGAUCCACAUGUAACACUAGGCAAUAAAGGAGUAAAUGAGAAAUAAUUUUGAGGCGAAACAACCUGAACGUCAUAUUUUGAAGCAUCCAGAUCCUUGAGAAAACUGGUGCCGGCCCAUCCUGUUCCAAGCACCAGAACUCUCUUUUUUGGUGAUUCCUCAACAGAACCGCCAACGUCUGAUUGUGAAUCUGCAUAUGCCAAUAGACCUCCGCCACUGAAACCAAAACAAAAACCAUUUCAGAGACAAAUAAUUGAACAAAUACAAAACUAAAGAUUUGAUUAGUCCCCUGAAGAUUCUUCCAUUUAGCACAACAAACUACUAAAAGAAAAUAGAACCGAAGCAAACGAAAUGACCGUUCAUUUUUACUUGUAAUCAGUCAUCACAUUCACUUACUAUAUACAUUUUGAGAAGUAAAAGAUAAGGAAACAAAUAUACAAACCAGUCAUGGAUGAAGAAACUAAAAGCUAAAACAUGAAAUCAGAACUUAAAGUAUCAAGAUCUACGUCAUGGUUUCAUUGAACAUCCACUCCGUCACUCCGUCACUCCGUCGUUUUACAAACUUAAACAAUCUACUCCCAAACAAAUAGUCGAAUUCCAACAGAAUCUUGAAUCUCAAAACAAAGAAAAUUUAGAGUUGUUGAAAGUCAAAGCAACAAAUCUCAAAUCAUGUCCAAACAAUGUGGUUGAAAGACAUUGCUCCUCGAGUAUUUAUCGGAGAUACUGUUUAAGAGAGAAGAAAGGGAAAAUUGAAGGCGAGGAGAAGCAGAAACCUGAGGGUGCUGAUAAGUAGAAGCUUUGAAUAUGCAGGGGAGCCAUGAAAAGCUCUGGAAGCUCUAGAGAAGAAGGAGAAAAUUGUCAUAUCAACGGAAGAACACGAUGAGUAGAGUACUAGGAAGAGAACAACGAACGUGUAUGAUUGAUGAUUCUGCAGAAGAAGGAAGCUAUUUGACAAGAUCAAACAGAAUGGGCGUAGACAGGCCAAGAUAUUUUGCACGCAACGUAUAAUAUAAAACCGUUUCCCGUGUCAUUUGUCCUCCUAAGAGGUGAAUGUUGGGUGGGUUGUCAUAGGGUCAAUUGGAUCUCAUGUAUUAAAAUUAACUUAAAUACUCAAAUUCUUUUACACGGUACUAUAUUUAAACCAUUUUGGUUUAAAUUAUCAACUAGGAGACAAUAGUAAAUACCAUAUACAAAUAACUUUGUAAAUAAAUAUAAGUCAUAAUAAUUGGGAAGGUGAAGCCAAAAUAAUGGAAGGCUUAAUGAGUAUGUGGCAAGUUGGAGUCAACUGUUCCAUAAUGCCUUUAAAAUAAUGUGAGUCCAAAGCAGUAGAAAGAUAUUUAUAGAGAUUAGUAGCAAAUUGUAGGUGUGAACGGACCAAUUAUAAACACGGUACUCUAUUGAAAUUUUUUUUGAUUAUGCAUAUCUCAUUCAAUAGAAAAUGUGAUAUAUAUUUUAUUUCAUGAGUUAUAAAUGAGGUUUGUUGAAUUUUUCCUAUCACAUGUGAGGAAAAUGAUGCCCUAUAUGCAUUUGUUCCUUUUGAUACAAAGUUAAUAACAUUCAUUUGAACAAUUUGUAGCACACGAGAUAAAUAUUCUGAAACCAAAAUGAAUGUGCAAUAAGUAGUAAUAUUAAAACCUAUAACUAUUUGACACAUUAUACCUGUGUAUCAAUUUAUUAAAAUAUUCUACACAAUUUUUUAAAAAUCGACAACAAUAAUAAAGUAUGAAAAAAAAUUCAUACCUAUGUACUAAACAAUUUUGAGGUCCACAUGUAAUAUAUCCAUUGCUUCUAUAUUUGUUUAAUUAAUUGGAUGAGAACUUUGGCUUUGAGCACCAAAACUUAUGGAUCUACACUUACCAAAAUUUGACACGUGUAUAAUUCUUAUUAUUUAUCUUUUUUCUUUUAAAGGUACUUUCUUAACUUGAAUUUACAAUAUUAUUUAGAUUUUGUUGGUAGAGAUUAUUGUAAUUCACGUUCUAGAAAGAAAUUUAUUCUAACUGCUUAAAAUAUUUUAAAAUUAGGUACAAUAUUACUUCGAUAAAUUAUAAUAGACUGUUGUGAUAAAUAUAGAUAGUGGUUUAUCAUGAACAAACUAUAAUAAUUUACUAUAUUUAUAAAUAUUUUGGUUUAUUUCUUUAUAUUUUAAAAAUUGUAUAUAAUUUUUUUAUUGAAACAAAACAAAUUCUAAAAACUAACAAUUUUAUAUUUUCGCUAUAUCCAAAAACUUUUUGGUAAUAUUUUUUGUGUUUGUCAUCUUGACUCAAAUUUUAUUGAGCCUGAAAGUAGGCAUAUUUUGAAUCCACCUCUUGGUAUGUAUAAAGACUUUUUGUUUUCCUUCACCUACCAGGUCAAGCGUUUGGAGCCAUCAUCGUUUGGUCAACAUAUCAGAACUAGCAGCUCAAUCUCCAAUCACAAAUAAGGUCAAGGUAAUUUGACAAGAGAUGAAAAACUACGGCUGAGAUCCGACUAACCAUCAAAAUAUAGAAUGGAUGUUCAAUUGAAGAUUAGUGAAGUGAAAUGAAAUAUUUCUUAAACCUUAUGAAUUCAGUUGUUGUGCGAGAUAAAAUAUUAAAAUGUAUAAUUAUAUUAAAAGUAUAUAGUAUUCCAAAAACUCAAUUAAUAACAUGAUAUUAGGACAUAAUAUUGUGUAAAAUAAAUAACAAUUUAUUAAAUUAAUAACUAAUAGUUUAUAUGAAAUUUUCAUCCAAUAGCACAAAUUAAAAAAUAAAUGUGAUUUAUAGCCUAAGGAAAUAAUAUUUAUAAAAAUAACAAUUGUUUUAUCCAUGCACUAUUACACACAAUUAUUUUAGACCUUUUUUUUUUUAUCAUUUAUGCAACUAACCCUAGUUUAUAUCUCAUCAUUUAUCACAACUAGUGAAUAUAAAUAUAUACCAUCUAUCAAAAAACACAUUGUUUAAGUUUAAUUUAAAUUUUGAUUUUUUUUAAUAUGUUAUGAACCACAUGUAUAAGAACAUGAAAUAAUGUUUCUCUACAGAUCUGGAAAAAAAAUCAUGGAAUAUAGUAUCAAGAAAGUUGAAAUUUUCAGAUCAAAGAAGAGAAAUAAGAUGGCAAUUGAUGUCAAGUCUUAUUAUACUUCAAUCAACCAUAAACUUUUUCUUCUUUAUUCUUAAAUUUUUAAUUUUUUUAAAAAUGGUCAAAAUAAUUAGAUACGUUUUAUAUUGGAUGAGACCUACUUUGAGAUGAUGGAAUUAAUAUUAUAGAUCAAUAUGUUAAUGGACACAAACCCUAUCAUAUUUGAACAAAGUAAUUAGGAUAAAAUGUAUGAUAAAGUAGUGUGGAAGUGAGUUUAAUUUUAUUAGUAUAAAAUAUGUGCUAAUCAAAUGUCUUAUCAUAUGUGUGAAGAAACAUACAGAAUAAAGAAUUGAAUUCCAGGUGUAAAGUAAGGUUGUAAUUAACAUGGUUGUCUUAUUCUUAUUCGUAAUUCAACAAAAAUAUUCCAAACUAUAACCAACAUGAUUUUGUUUUUUUCUUUUUGGAUUUACCUCUGCUUUAUUGUAGGAAAUUUUACUAAGUUGCUUUAUAAGUGGUUUGAGCAUUUUGAUUACUUCAUAAUUACAAAAAUAUUUAUCUUAAACCUGUUUGAUUACAAAUAAGGUGUCCAGAUGUGAAAUAUAUUUAGACUCCCUUCCUUUGUUACUUAAAUAUUGAAUAUUUAAUUUGAUAGACCGAUUUUAAAAUUCGUACAAAAAAUAACGUUUAGUUAUCAUUUUAUUUAUUUUUUUAACUUAUUUCAAGAUGACAAACGACUUUUGUAGACAUGAAAAGAAUAAAGAUUGAUAUAAUUUCGUAUUAAGUUCCCGUCAUAAUAAGUAUGACAUUAAAAAUCUAACUAGUUAUUAAUUGUAAUUAUGUAAUGUUUAGAUUCUAUCAUCAACUGAGUCGUUGUAGUAUAGUGGUAAGUAUUCCCGCCUGUCACGCGGGUGACCCGGGUUCGAUCCCCGGCAACGGCGUUUUUUUUUAUCCUUUUAUGUUUUAGAAUUACAUGGAAUUGGCUUUAAUUUUGUACUACGAGAGGUUUCGGUGGGUCAACCUUCAUUAUUAUAGCAUUCAUUUGCUCUGGGCCUAUGAGAUUGAGGAGAUCUUCUAAACAACAUCACAAUCCAUUUGGUACAAUCCACAGUUUUUUUAAAAGACUAAAAUCAUUCAACUUAGAUCUGUUUCAUUGUUGGUAAUUGAUGAUUCCUUAAUACUGAAUAACAUAGUUUUUUAAAAGAAUACUUUUUUUUAUCGCCCAAGCUUGCAUGAAAGUAACAACAUAAAAAUCUCUUCAAAGUUAAGUGUAUGUAAUAACUAAAUUGUUAAUAAGAGUGAUUCCUUAACCUAAUAAUAACUCAUGACUUGUAUGUGAGUGAAAAGCAAAUUGAUUAUUAUUCUAAAUAAUUGUAUAAUUUAUUUUACUUACAAAAAUAUUAACUGAUAUAUUGAUAACGGUAAAAUUAAAAUUUGGAAAAAGCAAAAUUGGGUCAUUUUUAAUAGCCUCAUAAUUCUAUGGAUGCAAUGAUAUACAAUUGAGAUGUAAAACUGUGAGCUUUUCUUAUACCUAUUUUGUCAUGUACACUGUUUUUUCAAAAUUUCUUCGGACAACAGUGAAUGAAGAAGCUGUUGCAACCGGCCAGCCCCGAGGCCUGGCGUGAACACAGAAUCGUUUCCACGUACCGAGCACGGGUCAGCACCGCCUUCCGAGCUCCCGAUACACCAUCCCCCUGGAGAAAAUCUGCUCGUUCUGCCAAGCAGUUCUUUAUCUAUCUUGUCCAAGACGGAAUCAUCCUUGGCAAACUUUCGAGCAAAUGGGGCAUUGCUAUUCACCAUUUUAUCAAAGUCCUUCAUUGUCAAAGAGAGUGGAUGUUGCUUUGGAGGAUUGUCCCAAGCAAUGUAAUGGAGGUCAUGGCUUACUGCAGUGUGUCUAAAUUCGUCGUUAUUGCAGAUUACAGUGUGAAAAUAGCCCUCGGGCGAUGAGAGAAAAUUUGUGUAGUACAUGAGGAUGGUUCGUGGGAGAUUAUCCCAUCCCAAUAUACAAUACUCAACGAAUGAUCGUGUCAGCAUUACCCAUGCCGAACCUACAAAUAUAACAUAGGAAACUGAGUUCUAAGAACUAAAAGUUCAGAUAUUUGAAAGGACUCUAAACAAAGCUAGUCAACCCAAAAUACUUGUCCAUCAAAAGCUCUUUCCCAUUAGCAUUUGUAAGGAACUUGUCCAUCAAACAAGUUCCUUACAAUAUGUUCCUUACAAACAAGUUCCUUACAAUAGCUAAGCAAACAAGUUCCUUACAAAUGCUAAUGGGGUUACGCAUGGGAAUUUCUCGAAAUUUACAGUCAAAAGAUUCUAGGGAUGUCAAUUAAUAAUCUAUUUAGUAUCAAAUUUUGUUUGAUCGUAUAACAUGGCUAGUUUGUUCAACUUAGUCUACAACUGAACCAAAAAAAUAACCUUCUAAAUAUGGAAAAAAUUAACCUUGUUGCUCAGUUACUAUACAUCGGAGAACAAUUGCACCUACGUGCAGAUUAGUACAUGAAAGAAAUGAUAUGCAUACUAACCUGUAAACAACUUGAAGGAUGUUGGAAGUGAGCGUCUUUGAGUUGUCCAAGCAAGUUCCGACUUUUUGGAUAAGUAAAGACCUGGAUCGAUGAUGAUUGGUUUCGCUCGGUGACUCCUGAAAUGAUAUAUAGAUGUUGGUUAUCAUAACAUGGCAUGCUUAUAAUUACUAGAUCAGAAAAAAAAAAAAAAACUUCAAGGCGUUAACUACUACAUACAAUUUCCACCCCGCAAUCUGCGAAUGCUCAAUAAAAUUGAAAUUUCUAGUCAAGUUGGAAAACACAUGAAGCAAAUCUGCACGUUUGAAGAGAAUUUGAUCACAUGGAAAUAUAUUCAUCAAUAGGAAAUGGAAAAGAUGAACUGAUCAUAGAAGUAUAGAACAAGUGCACUAACCAUCUUGUGUCAUCAAUGGAUAAUCUGAAGCACUUAAAUUUAUAAACCAGUCCCAAUCCAGACUCUCCUUCAACAAAAUCGAUAUUGCUUGAAGCGUGCAAGCAAUCAUUGUAGGACCUUUAUAUGUAACCAAAUUUGAUUGAGCCAUUACACGCACAUUCUCUACCUCAUUGAAUGUUGAAUCAGCCUUCACUAGAUUCGUCAGCUCCAAUCUUUCUCGAGGUGGAGCCUCCAGAUCCAUGUGCAGAACAUAUUGAUUUCUUGGGUGAUAUACAGCCUGCAAAGUCCUCAUCAUUCUCCGACUGUCGCCUUUUGUACCCGAAAUUAGAUAGGCUAAUCUUGGAGGUUCCAUUUUCACAACACCAUUUGUUUCUUUCAAUGAACUUCUUAAUUCAGGCUCAAUGAAAAAACCACUCGAAUCCUCCUCUUUUACAAACGAAACAGCAUCCAAUGGCAAUGGCUCAUCACUUUGUGAAGGAAUAAACAACCCUAAAGUAGCUGUUAGAAGCAGGGUAACUGAAAUGAGCAGACUUGCAAAGAACGGAACAAUCCAUUUUCUAUCGCUGAACAUCCUUCCUGAAUGAGAAUUCAUGUUCUUCCUCAUCCAUGACGGAUUUAAAAAGCCACCCACAUUCGCUUUACGCCCUAUCAUUCCGAAAAAUGCACUUAACCUCAGAUUGAUAACUCGCACAAAGCUACUAUUUCUGUCACUCACUCCUCUGCCAAAAUCUCCAAUGCUGUUAUUAAAGCGACCAACAACAAAUUGGCCAGAAUCCCAACUGGCCUCGUGUAAAAAGAAGAAGAAAGAAUGGAAAUCAUUCGAAGUAUAUUCUAAUAUUGCUCAGAAACAAUCAAAACAAGCUCAAAAGAGAAACCCAUUUCAUGUAAUCAACGAUCUAGCCACAAACCAACGGGAGAAAUUUAAGAGAAGUAACUCAAAUAAACGGCAAGCAAGUAAAUAGAAUUAAGCCGAAACGCCCAAUGAAUCGAAGUAACAGAUAACGGCUAGAUUUCCUCGAACAAAGUCAGAUCUAAAUCGAUUGAAGUAAAGUACAGAGGAAGUAGCAGGGAAACGGUGGGACUGUGAGCUUGACAGAGCUCAUAAGGGAAGGGAAGAAAAAGAAAAGCAAUAGAGGGGGAAAUGAAAAGGAGAGAAAACAGAGAGAAUCCUAACUGGGUAUUUAGAGAAUGAAUCAGAAAGGGGAAAAAGAAGAAGAGAGAGGUGAAAUAAAAUGGGGUUGAAGAAAGUGAAAAGAGAAGAAGUUUGGAAUGGUGAAUGUGCUGAGUUUGAUGGAUGAGAAACAGUGGGUGAUCGGCGAAAGGAAGAAAGGGAAAGGUAGGGCAAGAGAAAAAGAGAGUGAAAAUGGAGAAGAAAGAGGUGACCGUGUACAGAAAGAAAUGGGCGAUUGAGUGGAUUUGGUUUUUGCUUCAAAUGUUGGCAAAACAUGAAAAAUAAAUAAAUAAAGAACACAGUGUUUAAUCAAUUUGUUCAAAGAAAAAAGAAGAGCAAAUUUAAUUUUUAAUUUUUGGUGGCAAUAAAAUAAUCAAUUUUAUUUUUAUUUGUUUUUAUCUUUUCCUUUAACUUCCCCACGCUUCACUUAAGCGCGUUUGGUUCACCCCCAAUAUACCCCAUUAUAAAUUUGUAAUAUUUAGUUUUGGUUUUGAAAAAGUUACUUAAAUGUAAACAAUGAAACUAGUAAAUAAAAGUGAUAUUACCUUAUUAAUUUGUAGAAACUAAACAAUUACCAAAUACGACAUUAAUCUUUUGUGUAUUUAUUUUGGCAACUUAAACAUAUAGGUAGGUGGUUGUGAAUAUUUGGUGAGUACAUACUAAAUGUCAAAAUAAAUACAUUUAAGAGAAAAUAUUGUUUUUUUUAUUUAAAAAAAAAAAACUUCACUAGUCAUUUAAAAGUUAUUUAAACUUGGUUAUUUAGAUCAUAAUUAAUCUAAAUAAUCCAUAAAUUAUGAAUUAUUUAGAUUAAGUAAAGUUUUAAUCUAAUUUCUAAUGGAGAUGAAAUUGAAAAUUGAAAAUCAUAUCAACCAAAAUUGAAGUUAAGCCAAAACUAUAGCAACCAAAUUCAAAUUAAACUUAAACCAAUUAAUUAAAAACUUUGCGUAGAUCAUGAAACGUAAUUUGUAAUCUAACAUAUUUUUUCAAUAAUCAUAUAUUAUGUGUAUUUAUUGAAGUUAAUGAAUGACAAAAUGGAAAAUAUAGUAGAAAGUAUUUAAUUACGAAAGCAAAUUGACACCUACAAAAAAAGAAAAUGACGUAUGAUUUUUUCAAACUUGAAUUGUCCUAUAAUACCAAAUGUUGGAGUUGGUGUUCUUAAACAAUAAAUAAAAAAUUUCAUUUAGGGAAAUUGGUAAAUUUAAAGCUCUUUAUUUGAUUGGUAUACCAAAACCAAAAGUAUAUUUUUAAGACACCGAAAGAAAGAAAGAAAAAAUGAACACAAACAUUAAUUGAAGGUUUUUUCUUUCUUUCUCUCUCUCUCUCUUUUUUUUUGUUUGAAUUGAUUAAAUAUAUAGAGAGAGAGGGUUGGGGGUGUCGGUUGCUCUUGAGCCCCUAAAGUGUUUUGACUUUAUAUUAACUACUCCAAAUUAUUCACUUUACAAUCAAAACCACAUACCAUACCCCAUUUUUCUUUAUUCUAUCUAUACACACACACAACAAACAAUGGCCAUUAUACCCAUUAUUGAAAGCCCACUGACACCAUUAGCAUUUUUUAAAAUACAAUGUAGACGAUGGAUGUGAAAGACUAGACAGCAAACAUCAAAAUUCUUUCAACACCACUCCAAUGGGAAAGAUCUAUCAUUAAUAGCGCAUACCAAGGGUGUCCACACUCCACCACCAUUUUUAAGUUCCUGUAGAAGAGCAAAGCAAGACCCUCUCCCUCCAAAGCAUCAAUCUCCCUCCGAAGCCAUUCAGCAGCCGCACCAAUAAGAGUUCCAUACACCAUUCAUCACCCACUUCCAACAAGUGAGUCAAAUGAUUUGAAUUCAACUCAAAUGUCAAUAACCGACAAAUAAAAUUUUGAAAUAUUAUUGCAUGGUCUAUUAGUGAUAGACUCAUAUUCUUGAUAAACUGUCGAUCACUUAUAAACUUUAACAGAUUUUGUUAUAUUUAUAAUUUUUUAAAAAAUAUUGUUAUAUAUUUAAUUAUUUUGAAUCUAAUGGUUAUAUUUGUAAUAAAAUAUAUUCAAUUAGGUCAUGGGUUUAUGGUAGGUUUUGAAAAAAAAUAUUAAUAUUAUUUCAACUAAAAUAAUUACAAACUAACUAGCUCUAAGGUAUAUUUAAUAGUUAGAAAGGAAAAUUGUCAAAAAUAAAAUAUUUACAUCCAUACAAAAAUUAAAUGUUUAAUUUUGUCUUUUAAUAGUUUUAUUCCGUAAAUAGUUUGUUAAUUUUUUAUAUUUUUUAAAAACUCUACCAAAAUUGUAAAAAUACUGUGACUAAAAUGUGUUAAAUAUAACACAUAUUAAAGUAGAAUAAUGAAAAGUAGUAUUUUAAAGUAAGAUAUGCUAUACAAGAAAUCUAUCCUACAUAACUCAGUAUUGAAUCCUUGUGAGCUCUUAAACUUGCCUUUCAAUUUUCUUUGGUGCAUCUUUCUUUUUCUAUUAAUUUUUAGUUCUUAAAAAAGCCCAUUUUUCAUGUUUUUAAGUGUACCAAAUGAAUCAAACUUUUGAUUUGUGUAUAAACUUUUUACGACACUAAUUAUGAAAUUAUGUUUCGAAUCAAACCUCUACAUAUAAUGAGUGAAAUUUGUCCGUGUAAUAAUUCUUAUACGUGUCUAGACUUAUUCAAAUGUGGGACGAAUGAAAUCGACAAUUAAAAUUGAUACAAUAAACGAUGUUCAAAGCUAAUUAAUCUUAAUUUGAUGUUUAAAUUGAUUCAAUCGUGAAAAUUAACAAAUUCGAAGAACUAACCAUUUAUACUCUCUCACACAUCCCAUUUGUUUUAGCAUCAUACUAGACUUAUAUUUUUCAUCCAUUAAACCCACAAACUCUAAAUUUAUUAAUAUAGAAUUUUAGUUGAUACAAGAAAAAAGUAGUACAAAUCGGUAGUUUCCCAAUUGGGCUAGCUCGAUUCCCACCCCGAAAGGGCAAAGCCCAACAGAAAAAGUAGUUGGGCCGAAGCCCAUUUUCAUUAUUCUGAAAUUUAGAAAGAGAAUCAUUAGCCGUGGCCACUGAGAUUGAUACUUUACGUUGGUGCAUAAGGUAAGCUUGUAAUAACAACAUAGAUUUCUAAAGAUAAUAUAAAGUCCUUUAAAUUUGAAUGUUUGAAAUACAUUUACAAAUAUUUAAUUUAAAAUAUAAGCCAUUUUGAAAAAAAAAAUCAAAAUAUGUAGUCUUAGAAAUGUAUUUAAAACCAUUUAUCUCAAAAUAGUUUAAAUAAAAAAAUGAUUAAAAAAUAUUUUUUUAAGUCAAUUAAAGUUGGGUCGAAAGAAUUGUGAGACUAAACUAUUGGGAGUUAGGUGCCGUCCAAAUCAGUUGUUAGGAAGAAGACAGUGAGAAAUAAAAACAACAAUUUUAAAUUUGCAAUCAACUUGUUACAUAUUCACAUUAAGUUUUUUCUAAUAGUACCCACCAUUAAUUAUUCGAAAUCCAAUCUCAUUUUCAACUUUGUAGGUUCAACAUUUUUUUUCUUAUAAGAAUAAUUAUAUUUUGAAAUUUUAAAUACACCAAAAGAAGAGAUGAACCAUAAGGUUUUCUUUUUAAAAAAUUAUGUAAGGGCUAUAUUACAAAAUAUAGAUAAUAGAUAUUAGUAUGUAUAGUUUAAAUGAGAGUUUACCUUAUUUGAUAAACAGUAAUUGAGAUAUAAUUCUUAAAAAGAAAAAAAAAAACUUCAAAAUUCCCACUUUUGUGUUGUAAUUAAAGAAAAUAAUUGUUAAGUGAUGUAAUAAUAAAGGACGGUGACUUAAGAUGACAUUAGAGCAUGUGAUCUAACAAAGUUGUGUUUAAGCCUCUUUUAUAUAUCAAACCUAUAAAUGAUGGAAGUGGUGAGUGAUAGAAAAUUUAAUUAUUUAACUUCAUCGACCAACUUAAACUUUUAAGUCACUUUGUGAAUUACGAGUAACGAUAAAAUAAAAAAGUUAAGGCCAUGUUUGGUAAUGAUAACUAUUUUUUUUUUUUUAAUUAAGCAUAUUUCUUCUCUAUAUCUUAUCAUAAAUUGUAUAUUUCUUAAUUACAAUAGUUGAAUUAUGAAUCAAAUUUAAUAAAACAAAAAUCCUAAACAAAAUUGGUUAUCAAACUAAACCUAAAUAACUAUCUAAAAUAAUUUAAUCACAUUAUUUUUAAGUCAAACACGUGGGUGAUCCAUGACCUCUUAAUUAGUUAAUAAUAUUUUUACCACUAGAUCAAUCCAUGAUGAUUAUUUAAGAGAGUUAAUGUUGUUUGUGUAUGGUAUUUUAAUUCAUCAAAUUAUUUGUAGCUACUCCAAAUUAUUGUUUUUCUCUGUGCAUGUGUUAUCCUAUGAUUUUAAAAGUUUAGGGCAGCUAUCAAUUUGUGCUUUUAAUCUUUGGAAUUAAAUAUUUAAAACAAUAAUUACACCAAAUUAAACUAUAAUUUUAAUAAAUAUAUUAAUUCAUACCGUCUUUCAAAAUUUUAUACAAAACUUAUAAUAAUUUGGGUCCAGGUUGACUAAAACAUUUUGACAAAUCAAUCAAUUUAGACCUUUCAUUAAAACUAUCUUUAAAAGUUAUAUUCAUGCGUUAGUUUUUAAACUUCUUCAAAGGUUGGUUCUACAAAAUAGAUGAUUUUAGAAUAUUAUUUAAAUCAUUCUCUACAAUUUUUUUUAUAUAAUUAUAAAAGUAAAUAGUUAAUUUUUUUCUUAUUAUAUGUAUUUAUAAUAUAAAUAUAUAUAAAAGAAAAAAGGAAAAAGGAAAAGGAAAAAGGAAAAAGGAAAAGGAAUUGAAAUAGUUAGUGAAGAGGACACAUCUUUGAAUUGCCUUUUCAAGGUGUGCUUUUGAUCAUGUAUGCUUUUACAAAUAUAAUUUGGUGCAUAUAGUGGGGAAGAGAAAAGUCAUAGCAAAUCCCAAUUGGGCAAUUCCAAAAUAUAAAGCAAAAAAGGGAAUCACAUCCCAUCUCCCACGAAAUUAUUUAAAUCAUAUGGACAAAAUAAUAAUGCAAAUUCAAUGGCAUCAACCACCAAAAGUGCACUCUCCCUUAUUGCCUUUCAUUGCAUUUAUAUAUCUAUAAUUUAAUUAAUUAUAUAUUCACAAAAUAAUAAUAAAUAAAAUAUAUCCAACUUCAAUUAUACUUUAAACUCUCUACCUCUUCCAUUAAACUUCUUCUUUUUAUUUUAUUAAUACAACUUUCAUAUAUUUAAACUUCAUUUAGACUCAACCUAAUCAUUGGUUGCAACUUAAGUUAUAUCCAAUCUCAUACUUCUCUUUUUAACACAUAAAAUAAAUUUUAAAAAUAAUUUUUUUAAACAUACUAAAACAUCUUUGACUUGACAACUUUCUGGGUCACAUAUACAGGUGCAACCUAAAAUACACUUACAUUUGAAUAGCAAUUGUCCGUAUAAUAAUUAAAAUAUUUAAGUUUCUUUUUUAUAUUUAGAAAUUUAUUUUUUAAUUUUAAAAUCAUUUAAAGUACCUGAAUAAUUUUUUCAAACUUUAAUUAAAUAGUCUACAUAUAUAUUAAAAACAAUUAAAGAGAAUAAUCCAACUAAGGAGGAUUACUUGGUCAUCUCCAAUUUAAUUUAAUGCUUUAUAAAGGAAGCUUUAAAUGUCUAUAGAAAACCACCAGCUUUGAUCACACUAUAUUACCUAUAAAUGUUAUACAUGCAUCUAUAAUAAUUUAAAUUAUAAAUACAACUCUCAUCUUAUAUAAUUAAUUUUUUCAAUCAUGCCCAUUCCAUAAUUUUAAUUGAAUUAUAAACUACAAUAAAGUAUAGGUUAAGUUGUUAGAACUUUCAUCUUUUGUGUUAAUAAACACUUAAUUUUUCUCUUAUUUUGUAUUUAUACAUAUCUCAAAAUUUUAAAAAUUAACUUUAUGGUGGAAUAAGUUAAAGAAUUAUGAUAUAAAAAAAGACGUGACGUUUUUUUUUCUGAAAAUGAUUUAGAAUAAAAAUGUGAGUGAAUGAUUUUAAAUGUAAAAAUAUAUCUCAACUAAAGCAAAGCAAAGCAAAGCAAAGGAGAGUAAAUAUAUAUAAACCAUAAUACAAAGUUGAAAUGUAAAAAUUUUAGUAUAUAUGAAGUAAAGAAAAUACAUUUAUAACAGAAAAAGAAAAUGAUAUUUUGAAAGCAUACGAAAAAGUGAGUGACAAUUCAAAAAAAAAAAAAAAAUGCGAAGGCUUGGCAAGGCAAAGCAAAGGCAUGAACGGCCCCCGAUUCUUCUUCAGUGUGUGUCUCUCUCUUCUCUUCUCUUCUCUUCUCUCUAAUGUCAUAUCAUAUCAUGCAAGAAGGGCAUAACAAUAACCCCCUCUCGCACACGUCAUUGCCUUCCCUUAUACCCAGGUCUCAUUUCUUCAUUCAAAUUCAUCCAUCCCUCCAACCCUUUAAUUUUCCUCUCUUUCUCUAUCCAUGCCUUCCUCAAGAUCUAUCUCCACCCUUUCAAUAUGACCGCCUAUCCAGAUUCUUUCUAUUUUCCAUAAAAAAAACCCCACCAACCCCAUAUCUCUUUUUACCUGAAUUUUUCUGGGUUCUCUACCCUUUUCUUCGAUUUCUCCCCCAUUUCGUUUCUGGGUUCAAUCUGGAUUUCUGAUUUACAGAGUUAAUCGGACAUUCGACUGGGAGAUGGCUAGUGGGGUGGAUGAAAAUGGGUUCGUCUUGUUUUCUAGCGAAGAGUUGAGUGAGAUGAGUGGGGUUAAGUUCGGUGGAGAUUUUGUGGAAGUCACUUGUGGCUGUACUAGUCAUCGAUAUGGCGAUUCUGUUGGGAGGUUGAGGAUUUUUGUUAAUGGUGAACUUGAAAUCACCUGUGAAUGCACUCCCGGUUGUCAUGAAGGUUUUUUUUUAAUCCCUUCUCUCUCUUCUCUUAUAUUCAGUCUCUUUACUAACAUAUCUUGAAUGUAUGAUAUAUAGCUGAGUUCUUUACUUGGGGAUACUUGUGAUGAGAUUCGAAAUACAGUUCUUCGUUUCUUCUCAGUUCUGUUUUCAUUUUUAUGCAUGCUUUGGUGGGUUUGUCCUUGUAUUUGUCUUUUCAUGGAUUUGAAAAAUGAAGUUUGACGUUAAUGGGUGUCACUUUCUGUCCCUGCAUUCAUUGGGGUUAUGGAUAGGGUUAGGGUCUUACUCAAGAGGAUAAGAGAACUAGUACUACAGAUGGAGAUGGAGAGUUUAGUCUUUCAAGUGGGUUCUUUAUUUUCAUGGCAUGCAGUUGAAGUGUUUGUUGUUUUGUCUGAGUGAAUCAACAAUAUUUGAUAAUGGUAAGCAAAAACACGUAUGGUUUUUUUUUAUUUUUACCAAAAUUUCAAUUAUUGAUGUGGUAAUUGAUGACAAUCUUCUGAUUAAAACGGGUGUGAAUUUCUUUUGAAGUGUCUUAAUAAGUGUUUUUAAGCACAUCCAAAGUCAUUUCUAACUGAUUGUUUUGUCUAUGACCAAAAUGUUUUAGCUUCAAAAGUGGGAAUCUUAGCUUGAAAUCCAAUAUGAAAUAAUGGAAAUGCUAUCUGGUUUGUGGUUUUCUGCUCUAUAGUUGCUUACUUGGAUUAGGUUUUGACGCUAAGGUUCUGUUUUUUACUUCUUUUUGGGCAGACUAAUCAUAGUAUCACACCUUAAUACCAGUAGCUCUUUUGGUUAUUCAUGGCUGCUUAUAUUUUAUGAAGCAUUUGGUGAUAUUUAUUUUUUCAUCUUGUCUUGACACAAUAUAAUGCUUGCCACCUAAGGAAAUGAGAGCUUUGUUCUUGCUAAUGAUUGUGUAUGUGGUGGAUCGUUGAGGACCUGAACUGGCUAUAACACUUGAGGAAUGUCUUUAAAUAGCUCAUUAUGUUAACAUCCCAUCCAAAUGAAUAGGGCACAAAGCAUAAGCAAGUAAAAUACCACAUGAUGAUUUCCCAGGUCGAUUUGUUAUAUUUUUUUUAUUGUUUUAGUUGUUAAUCUUCAUAUGAUGUAUGAAUCAACUGAGCUAAAGUUGGUUUCACUUAGUGCUCCAGUAUUUAUGCCUCUUUCACGUGAAAAAUCUUUUAGUUUAAAAUUACCUCCCGUGGAUUUAUGAUUUUAUCAGAAUCAAUCAGAUUGGUUCUAUAUGAGGGCAAACGUGCAUGUUUUAAUAAUAUGAUUACUCUGCUUUAUCUGAAUGUGAAAAGUAUAUUAUGCAUGCCGAUGAUGUAAUAUUUAUGAGACAGAUCUUAUUUCACGUGGAAAUUCCUUAUUCCUAAUUUGCAUUAUAACUUUACCAACUAGACAAGUUGACUCCUGCUGCAUUUGAAAAGCACUCCGGAAGAGAAACAGCAAGAAAAUGGAAGAACAAUGUUUGGGUCAUAGUUGAUGGAGAUAAGGUUCCAUUGUACAAGACUGUUCUCCUCAAGUACUACAAUCAGGCGCUAAAAAACAGCAAUGGAUCCAGUAGAUCCCAAAACGGGCGAGCAUGUCACCGUGAUGAGUUUGUUCGAUGUAGUAGUUGCAACAAGGAACGCAGAUUUCGACUUAGGACAAAAGAGGAAUGCCGAAUUCACCAUGAUGCUUUGGCAGAUAGUGAUUGGACUUGUGCUGAUCUACCAUAUGACAAGUACAUAUUUACUUUGAGAUUGCAUUACCCUUGUGAUCCUGAAAGUCCAAUAAAACUUCGUAUUACUUCUUGUUUUGCAGAAUAACAUGUGACACUGAUGAAGAACGAGCGAGCCGGAGGGUUUAUAGGGGAUGCAUCCGUUCACCAACAUGCAAGGGUUGCACUUCCUGUGUCUGCUUUGGCUGUGAUAUCUGUCGAUUUUCAGAUUGCAGCUGCCAGACCUGCAUUGACUUCACAAGGAACGCAAAAGCUUGAUUGAAUCUGCAGAACAAUUCUUCUGCCCUGAUUAUUCCCAUUUCAUUUCUUUGUAUGAUGCUCUUCUCAUACAACAUUUUAAGGACAACCAAGAAGAGAAAUUUCAGAUUAAACUCAGCCUUAUUUAAUGUCUUUACUGACCGUUAUAGCACUUUAAGAUUCAGUACUUUAUAUGCCUUCUCUAGUAAAGAAUAGAAUAUGCAACAAAGACAAUGAUGGAGAUGAGUUUGCGUGGUAUUAACAACGUAUUGCCGUGUAAUUUACAUCACAUCUGUUUCAUAUUGGUGUGUGAUAUCAAUAAUGUGAUCAUUAACAACAUUUAAAACAUCGAAACAAGUUGAAGACAGUGCAAUGUGCAGAGAGCUUUCAAGUUGUGAAAGAUCAAGAGAUAGAAAUGAUGUUUACAAAAUCAGACAUAGAAUAGAGGUGGGAAUAUUGAAUGCAGUGGUUGGCGCAAUUGGCAUUGACAAUCAAAUGGAGGUAUUGGAAAGGAUGAUGAAAGGUAGAGCAGAAAAACAUGUUUCUUCUUCUAUGUAAAAGUAUCAAUUCAUCAUAAAUGAAGGCAGCUGGAAUCUGCUGCCUGCUUAGAAACGAUAGCUGUGUAGUUGGUAUCUUGGGAAUAGGAAUAUCCUCUUAUGUGGACAAAAGCCUCGACUUUAUGUCACUUUUGAUUCCUCCUUUUAUAAUUAUGUUGGUGAGGUAAGAGUUUGUGACAUUCCAUGAAGUGAUUGAUAGAAGCUUCAAUAAUCUGCUAAGAAAGACAAACAAAUUAAUACCCACAUUCAUUUUGUUUAUACUAUAUAGUUUUAAUGAAAUGAAAAGAUAAAAGAAUCAAACUGAAAGAUGCCUCACACCUUUAGAAAGCUGUCCUUUUUGCCUCUCAAGUUUGUUGCCUGUGGCACAAGCGACUCACACGUGAGAAUGUUAGUUUAAUAAGGUUGGAGCCUAGGCAAAUCGAAUUAAUAAGGUCAAGUGAUUUUUUACAAAAAAAUCAGAAAAGAAAAGAACAUAACAUUAAUUUGUUAUUCCUGUUUACUGUUGGCAGCUGAAAUUCAACUUUGGUAAAUAAUGGAAUUGAGGGAAUUUGGUCAGUGAAAACUAAAAGUGAAGUUUUUGAGAAAACAUUCACUAAUCAAACCCACUAAAUUUACACAAAUAAAUGUAAGAAGCUGAAAUCCUUUUUGUAAUUUCACAUUGAUUUCUAGUCACACCCCUUACCAUUAUUACAUUUCAUUUUUGUAUCCGACAGACCUUUGGACAUAUAUUGAAUCAUCAAUUUUUCUCUCUUCCACUUUCAGCUCACAACAUUUAUUGAGAUUAUUCUCCUUCAUUUAAACUCUGAUCCUUAAGCAUAAAUGAAUCUUAUUACAUAGUAACAAUCCUUGUUUUCGAAGAAAAUAAUUCAAUUUCACAAAUUGAGAAUAAUUUCUUCCUGUUCUCAGUGGGGGAGAAAAACAAAAGGAAUAUGAACAUCAUUAAAAUUAUAAUCAAGAAACCGUGUUACAAGAAACGUGAAAAGAUUGGGAGAAGUCCAGACCAAUACAAUAUGGGAUUAGGAAUUUAAUUACCUAAGUCAAGAAAAAUUAGACAAGUUCUAAGUAAAUAAAGAAGAAGAAGAAAAAGAAGAAGAAGAGGAAAGGUUAGCGAUAGGAUCUGAUAAUAGCUCCACAGAAAGUGCAAAUAAUGGCUCUCCAAGACCUCCAAUAAAAUGGGACGAAACAAAAUCUAGUGGCGGUCUUCAUGUCGGCGACGCUGGCUCCGCCGCCACACCGGGAACAAAAUCCGGCAGCCGGUUUGCUCCGCCGUACCUGACGAGUCUGAUCCACGAGAAAGCAAAAGCAAACCAUUUCUGUUUUUUUUCUUCUUGUAGUUGUAAUUGAAGAGUGAUAGCAGAGAGAAGUAUUGAAGUGCAUGAAAGGUGAUAAAAGGUGGAUCCUUUAUAUAAAGAUUUCUUAACCUUACACCCACUUGCAAAUGGUCAACAAAAUUGGUUGUGAGGGACAAAUAAAAAGUGUAAAAUUACAACUUUGGUCAUUUAUAAUUAAAUUUUAGGAGAAUAUGUCAAUUUAUGGUUGUAUAAACUGUGAGCUGUUCAUAAUUAUGUCAAUUAAGCUUAUAAAUUUUUACAAGUAAACUGGUUGAAAUAUAACUCUCAUUGUCCAUAAUACACACAUGACAAUGGAUGUAUGGAUGAUUUCAAAUGUAAAGUUUAAAUUGAUUCAAAUUUAAAAGUUUUAAUGACUCACGUUUUCACGUCAAAAUUGUAAAAGAAUAAAUUUUAAAUUAGUAUAAUUGUUAAUUUUUAUACAAUUCUCAAACAUAUUUCAUCAAUUUGAUAUAAUAUGAAAGUAUAUCUCGUGUUCAAAAGAUUAUAAAAUCAUUAAGUUUUUUAAAUAUAUCUAUUAAAUGGAUGAAUUUAUCUCGUUAGACGUUUUCAUUUUCAACCCAUUAUUAAUUUAUAUAUUUUAGAGUUUUUCUCUCGAAUUCGUUAACCCUAAAUCAACAUUAUAUUGUUAAACUAUCGAGUUUUAUCCAAUUAGAAAAACCAUUGAGUUCCUUUUUUCACAUAUAUUUUGUAGUUAGCAAGGACAAAUUUUUUUAGCAUAGAAAUGAGGUUGAAAUGAUGAAAAUAAAGUUGAUAAUUUAAGGAGAAAGAAAGAAGAAAAAAAAAAGUGUGAAAGUACGAAAGAGUACAUAUGGAAGAGUUAGUUAAGUCACACGAAAGAGAGGGAUGGGAAAGGGCAAUUAAUGGGGAGGAAUCCGUGUCAUGUUGGUCAUUACAAAGCAGUUGGAGGGUAAAUGUUGAAACUCAAUCCUCACCCUACAUCUGGAUAACGUUAAAAUCAAACUAUUAAUUAAUUAGUGUAGAUGCAAUGUAUGUUAGUGGCACCUUCUGAUUGGUCGGUUUUCUUUGUUAUGGGCAUUCCUAACAUUUGCAAUUAUACCCCCCGAUCUUUCCAUUAAUCUCCUACCCAUCCUUCAUAAUUACAACCAAUUCAAACACACAUAUAUAUUAUAUAUAGUUUUAUCUUUGUUUUCGAUAUUUCACUCUCGUAUUAAUUUUAUUAGUUGAUUAGAGAGACAUAUAGUAGUAUAGGAGUACUCUUUUUUCUUUUCUCUUUGUUUUGAUUGGGUAUGUAGUAAUUAAUUACUGGCAAGGCAUGCCAUGCACAUCACUCAUGGUUUGCUAUUGCAGGAAAGAUUAAUUUAAGAAGUGAAUGCAUGCAUGUGUGUGUUCUAUCUAAUAUGUGAUUCUUUUGUUUGUGGUUUAAUACUUUCACCACAGGUGUUUACUAUAAUUAACCCUAGACCCAAAGUGAGGGUGUGUGUGAUAUGAGAGAUUCUCUACGCAAAUAUUUGAAGAAAAUAAUCGAGGAAAAAUGGUGGACUGAAAAGUCUAAUUAAUUAUAAACAUAAACAAACAAAGUUUGUGUAAUUAGUUUUUACCGUUUAAAUUUCAAAACUAUUACCCCAAAUUUGAAUACAGAAUAAUUAGAGUGUCUUUCAUAUAUUAAUGAAUCUUUAUAUAAUUAUAACUUUUAGGUGUGGUUGUAAAAGGUAGUUCAAAAGAUGAUAUUACACCAUAUUACUAAUCAAUUAAAGAACAUCAAGAAAUAAUUAACAAAAAUACCAAAAUGUUAAUCAACAUGGUUAGGCAAAUGAAAGGGUAUAAACUAAAAAAGAGGAAAAAGAAAACCCACUUAUCAUAUAUAUAUAUAUAUAUACAUAUGCAAAAUAUUGUGAAAGUCAAACUACAAUAAAUUUAUAGAAAUGGUUUCAAAAGAUGAAUUUUAACACCAUUUCAUUAAUUAAGAUCGAUUGAUUAGCCAUCAAAAUUAAUGAAACUUGAAAGUCAAAAACAGCACAAUAAAUCAUUUUUGUGGAUUUUAAAAGACCCUCACCGACCUUUCAUUUGUACACAUUCAAAUUAAAAUUUGACCGUAUUCACUAAGGUUAUUCAACAUUAGAGUCUAUUUGUACUAAAAAUUCAAUACAUAUUUGGUCCACAAUUUUUAAAUGGGGUGGAAUAAUUUAUACUAAUUAUAAAUCAUUUUUCUUUUAAGAAAAAAAUAUCUUCGGUUCGAAUUGGGUUUCUAGGUUACAUUUGGUUUAUAAGUCUUGAGAUGUUGCCCAUUUUUACCCACAAAUUUUUAAUUUAACAUUGUCUAAAAUAUUACAUACUUGCACAUAAGUUUUGAGUUUAAUUUUUAUUUGGCUUCUAGAUUUGAGAAUAUUACAUUUGUAUCUUGUUUUGUUUUCAUUUAAAUUAAGUUUUAAGAUACAUGCUUUUAACGUAAUCUAAUUAAAAUUAUAGACAUUGCACAUGUUUCGUAGCGUUAAAAAUAAAAAAUACAUAUAUAAGUUCAAAUAAAAGUCUUUGACUUAAUAUUUAAUUUUUAUUUUGAAAAAAUCAAUACUACUUCAUUUAAAUUUGAAUUAAUAUAUACUUUUUAAAGUUUUCGAAUUGUUUUUUGAUUUGUUAAGUUCAAAUCCUUGAUAGCAAUAAAAUAAAUAAUUUGUUUCUAUUAUAUUUAUUUUAUACUAGACAUAAAUGAAUUGCUAUAUAAUUAUUAUAAAUUUGAAAAGGAGAAAACAAAAUACCAAGCAUAGUAAAAAUAAUAAAUUAAUUUAAGUUCACUUAAUAUGUAGGUUUACAGAAACUAAAAAGCAGAAGAAAAGAAAAAAGCUAUAUGACUAGCACAAAAAUCGUAAAAAAUAACAAAUUUUUAAAUUUUAUCAAUAAUAUUUAUUGAACAUUAAUAUAUAUUGAUAAAAUUUUCAGUUUCUAUCAUUGAUAUAAUCCAAAAUUUUGUUAUAAUUUGUAAAUAUUUUAAUUUAUUUUGAUAUUUUUAAAAAUGUCAAAUUUCUUUGAUCACUUUUAUCCUAUUUUAAAAUUAUUUCAACCUCUAAAUUUUUUCUGAACAUUAAAGCAAUGUCUUCUUUUACAACAUCUUGAUAAGAUGUGAGGAAGAAUAGAUGAAUCGUAUAGAAAAAAAAAAAGCUACAAAAGCAUACAAAAGUUAUAAUCUUAAUAGAUCAUCAACCAAGAAGAGAACAUAUCUAUGAUAAAUAAAAAGAAGAGAGAUAUAUCUCUUUAAUUUCUAGACCUCCACUAGACAAUGCCUCUUCCUAAAUAAAACUUAAAAAAAAAAGAAAAAAA
rnacentral:lncRNA from 1 species